CUCACCAGGUACUUGUCCCGGUGCUUGGAUUGCAGCACAUGGGCCAGCUCGCGCAGGUGGCCCCGGUGCCGCUGUUCAUCGGGCCGCGCGGGGAAGGCGGCGGCCAAGAUGCGCUCCGUCACGUAGGAUGAGCAAUACCCACAGCACUCCGUUCAAGGUCAUCUCCUGGGGGCCCUCUCUGGAGCCACCAGACCUCUGGACACCAUGGCCAGGUUCCUUGCCCUCCCCACCCCAUCCCAGAGCGCACUCACCAACUCCACGGGAGGCAAGGCCUGACAGGCUGAAGUCACCUGGAAGGGGACCGAUGCCUGGUACUGGAUAGGAACUUCAUGGAAUGGAGCUAAUGGGCCGUAGGGCAGGUUUGAGUCGUGCCACCCUGGAGCAGAAGGUGGAGGGUAGGGAUAAGGGGGUGGAGCACCUGAUUCCAAUCUUGCCACAGGGAAGAAGAGUCUGUGAAGAAACCUCAUUAUUGCACAGCUGAGAGUGGCUUGAAACAAAGGCUUGGAGAAUGGUGGAGAGAAACUAGGAGAAAAGCACAGGAUGUAGAGGUCUAUUCGGCAUAAUCUUCUCCCUCAUUUUCAUCUUCACCAUCAACAGAGAGAGCAGCAUACUUGCUUGCAGAACUGAACUUCUGUAACACAACGAGAGUGACAGGAUAAUGAAGGCCCUGAAUUAUCACAUCAAAACCCAAGACACAGGAUACUGAUCCUUUGGCAAUGGGGGAUGACAGUCAGAUGACACCCACUUGCUUGCUCAUCAGCAUUGUCCAUUGGAGAGGAGCUAGGGAAGAGGGUCAGAGGCACAUGCGAUCUUACUAUAGUCUCAUACCACCUCUACACCUUGCAGAAGGGAUGAGAACAAAGGAAGACAGAAACCAGGAAAAAGCUAAACUUCUUUCGCUAUUUCAGUAAAGACCAAUGUCUUAUUUCCAAACACUUUGUAUUCCAAAUGGAAAGAAGUCCAACGGCAAAAAGUUUAGAAUACUAAGAAUUUUUAAUUCUUAGUAAGAAUACUUAGAAUUCUAAGAAUUUUUCUUAGAAUGAAAAAUUGGGAGCAGCCUUCAACACUUACGGAAGCUGGAUUUUCCUCAGGUUUCUUUGGCUCAGGUGCAGAUCUGGAGUCUUGAUCCUUUUUGCCAUCUUUCCUGCAGAGACGUAAGCAUAAAACCAUGUCUUUAGGAAAGGACUCGCCUAAUACAAACAUGUGUAUGCAUGCAGUUUCAAGGCACUGAACAGGCACCUCUAGUCAACAGUCCUUGUUGUCUGGAUGAUGUAUUACUUCUAGAUUUUCAGAAUCUUAACUGUCUACGUUGGCUGACUUUAGUUUGCUCACAAUGAGCGAUCUGGCAGUGCUCUGAGAACCAAGAACUUAAUUUCUUAAUUACACAAACAUGUGGAUCAGAGGAAAGAUGAGAAAGAGAACAAGCAUACCUAUCUGACUCCUUCCAGUGGUCUCUGUUCCCUCCGUCGCCUGGACCACGGCUAGAGUUCCCAGUUUGGCCUUUUGGGGCAUUCAUCCCAUCUACUUUAUUUUCAUCUGCUUGGGCAGUAAUGUAAACAAAUUAAAGGCAAGUAAAAGUAUCAAUGUCCCUCUCCUAAGAUUUCCCUUAAGCUGAAGAAAAUUGUGCCCACAUGUACUGAGGGAAACUAACCUCACCCCAACCCAGACUUCCUUCCUGAAGCCCUUCUUUCCACAUCCUCUACAGCACACAAAAAUACAAAAAACAAACAAAAUCCACUAAAAAGUUCCAUGUAGGGAUAUGCCAUCAUGAAAAGCAAGCUGGAAAUAAAGAUUAUGACGCUCUG
ensembl:lncRNA TNS2-AS1 TNS2 antisense RNA 1